UCCGAGUUGACCCCGGCAGUCUCCCAUGAGUCCCCACCAUAACGUGCUGGCAACAUGGAACGAGGGUUGCGCUCGUUGCGGGACUUAACCCAACAUCUCACGACACGAGCUGACGACAGCCGUGCACCACCUGUGCACUGGCCCCGAAGGGCUGUCGUGUUUCCACGACAUUCCAGUGCAUGUCAAACCCAGGUAAGGUUCUUCGCGUUGCAUCGAAUUAAUCCGCAUGCUCCGCCGCUUGUGCGGGCCCCCGUCAAUUCCUUUGAGUUUUAGCCUUGCGGCCGUACUCCCCAGGCGGGGCACUUAAUGCGUUAGCUACGGCGCGGAAAACGUGGAAUGUCCCCCACACCAAGUGCCCAACGUUUACGGCAUGGACUAC
rnacentral:misc_RNA from 1 species